UUACUGUGAUGAGCUUUCCCACUUCAUGGUCCGUGUUUUUGACAGCUGUGAUAUGAAUGAAGUUCUGAGUCU
ensembl:snoRNA SNORD18 Small nucleolar RNA SNORD18